rnacentral:rRNA from 1 species
GACGAACGCUGGCGGCGUGCCUAAUACAUGCAAGUUGAGCGCUGAAGGUUGGUACUUGUACCAACUGGAUGAGCAGCGAACGGGUGAGUAACGCGUGGGGAAUCUGCCCUUGAGCGGGGGACAACAUUUGGAAACGAAUGCUAAUACCGCAUAAAAACUUUAAACAAAAGUUUUAAGUUUGAAAGAUGCAAUUGCAUCACUCAAAGAUGAUCCCGCGUUGUAUUAGCUAGUUGGUGAAGUAAGGGCUCACCAAGGCGAUGAUACAUAGCCGACCUGAGAGGGUGAUCGGCCACAUUGGGACUGAGACACGGCCCAAACUCCUACGGGAGGCAGCAGUAGGGAAUCUUCGGCAAUGGACGAAAGUCUGACCGAGCAACGCCGCGUGAGUGAAGAAGGUUUUCGGAUCGUAAAACUCUGUUGGUAGAGAAGAACGUUGGUGAGAGUGGAAAGCUCAUCAAGUGACGGUAACUACACAGAAAGGGACGGCUAACUACGUG